rnacentral:rRNA from 1 species
UACGGGGGGGCAAGCGUUGUUCGGAAUUACUGGGCGUAAAGGGCUCGUAGGCGGCCAACUAAGUCAGACGUGAAAUCCCUCGGCUUAACCGGGGAACUGCGUCUGAUACUGGAUGGCUCGAGAUUGGGAGAGGGAUGCGGAAUUCCAGGUGUAGCGGUGAAAUGCGUAGAUAUCUGGAGGAACACCGGUGGCGAAGGCGGCAUCCUGGACCAACACUGACGCUGAGGAGCGAAAGCCAGGGGAGCAAACGGG